CAAAUGCCAAAAAUAGUGUUUUCAACAUGAUUUAGGCUUUGUGCAAAGGGAAGACUGUAGAGAGAGGUUAUAAAGUGCAAGAAGUUGCUAACAGUAGUUUGAUUGGCAGUCCUCAAGCACAGAAUUCUCCAAGAGCUGGCAGGGGAAAAGUUCCAAGCUGUUGAAGACACAGUUUCUAACUGUCUGUCUGGAGCUGAUGGUGAAGCCUGAAGGGUGUGUGGAUCUGGACUCUACCUAGACAAGAUCAUCUUGGAAGCUGACUGCCUUUGAAUAAAACAAGACUGAGAGGAAGAUUUCCCAUACAUUUCUGGUGGAAAGAGUGUAUUAGAGGAACCUUUCUCUCUAUUUCUUGGGACAUCUGAGGACUCAACAGUUGGAUUCCUGCUACCCACCUGCCAAGGACUCUCUGAGAACUCUCUCACCAAUCAAGAAGGCUGAGGAGUUGCAAAAGUGAGGAGAUGAACUGCCCUGUAAACCAUGGUUUCUGGAGGUCUGCUCUAAAAUGAGUUCUUCCAGAACCUGUGAGGAGGCUCAGGAUUCUUGGAGGCCAAGAUGGCAAGCAUGCAUUACAAGUAUUGGAAACAGCAAAGGCAUGGAAAUGGAAGAUGGGAUUUUACGUACAGGGAAAGAAUAAGGAGGACAGUGUGGAUGGAGGAGAGAAUACAUGAAGGAGACUAAUGUGUACUCAGCUUGGAAAUGUGGGCUGCAACUAAGUAAUAAAAGCCAAGAAUACCUUAAUAUUAAUGUUAUU
rnacentral:lncRNA from 1 species